GAUGAACGCUGGCGGCGUGCCUAAUACAUGCAAGCCGAGCGAACAGACGAGGAGCUUGCUCCUCUGACGUUAGCGGCGGACGGGUGAGUAACACGUGGAUAACCUACCUAUAAGACUGGGAUAACUUCGGGAAACCGGAGCUAAUACCGGAUAAUAUAUUGAACCGCAUGGUUCAAUAGUGAAAGACGGUUUUGCUGUCACUUAUAGAUGGAUCCGCGCCGCAUUAGCUAGUUGGUAAGGUAACGGCUUACCAAGGCAACGAUGCGUAGCCGACCUGAGAGGGUGAUCGGCCACACUGGAACUGAGAAACGGUCCAGACUCCUACGGGAGGCAGCAGUAGGGAAUCUUCCGCAAUGGGCGAAAGCCUGACGGAGCAACGCCGCGUGAGUGAUGAAGGUCUUCGGAUCGUAAAACUCUGUUAUUAGGGAAGAACAAAUGUGUAAGUAACUAUGCACGUCUUGACGGUACCUAAUCAGAAAGCCACGGCUAACUACGUG
rnacentral:rRNA from 1 species